GACGAACGCUGGCGGCGUGCUUAACACAUGCAAGUCGAACGGAAAGGCCCUGCUUUUGUUGGGUGCUCGAUUGGCGAACGGGUGAGUAACACGUGAGUAACCUGCCCUUGACUGUGUGAUAACUUCAGGGAACUGGGGCUAAUACCGGAUAGGAUCUCCUGCUGCAUGGGGGGGGUUGGAAAAUUUCGGCGGUUGGGGAUGUACUCGCGGCUUAUCAGCUUGUUGGGGGGGUAGUGGCUGACCAAGGGUUUGACGGGUAGCCUGCCUGAGAGGGUGAACGGGCUCCUUGGGCCUGCGAUACGGACCAGAAUCCUACCGGCGGCAGUAGUCGGGAACCUUGCGCAAUGGGGCGACGCCUGAUGUAGCAACCUCGGGUUCGGGAUGCACGGCUUUGGGUUGUAAACCGAUUUGGAAUGUGCCGAACACAGCGUGACGGUAAUUGGUCAAAAAGCCACGGCUAACUACGUG
rnacentral:rRNA from 1 species